rnacentral:lncRNA from 1 species
UUCAACAGUUUCUGGUGGUCUGGAAUAUUCUAUAUCCAGUUGGCUAUUUGAAGACACUCCAUCUGGCGCUACUCUUUCCUUGGCUAUUCAGAUACAGAAUGAUCCGUAAGGAGUUUAUUUAAAAUAGAUUUUGCUUCACUUUCGUUUUUACCGUUUGAUCUCCAUUUCCAGCUUGUAGAGGUUGAUUUUACUUCAGUUUUAAGAUUAACUGUACAUUUGUUGGCUUUUUAAUUUUGCAUUUCUCCAUACACCAAUCUGUUGAAGAAGAUCUACCAAGAGAGUCACUUUUGUUAAAAGCUACUUAAAAUGGAAAUAAUGGAAAGAAUGAACUCAAUUGCUCUUCAGCUAGUUUUAUUUACAUCUUUUAUAUAUUUCGAAACCUCUUUUGGACAGAAAGGAGACUUUGAAAUCAAAACCCAUACAUAAAACUAUUCAGGAUUCUAUAUUAACGGUUUUAUUUUAAAAUGUUAAGAUACUGAGUUUUAAGUGAAAGCAUUACAAAUGCAUAAUUGAAUUCUUUACACUGUUGAGAAGUAAUCAUAAGAAUAAAUAGUUUCGGAUGGAAAGUUUCGAUUUGUGAUAUAAACCGUUAGAAGUGUUCUUAUUAAAUGUUUCCCUCUUGUAAAAAGUCUUUAAUCAAAACUUACUCCAAAGGCAAAUAACGUUUAUAAGAAGUUAUUUGCCUUUGGAAUACUGUUUAAUUCCGUAACAGAUAGUAUUCAUUUAUUUCCUUAACUAAUCUAACUCAUCGAUUUGCAAGUGAAGUAUUCUUAAAUUAUUUCUGAAUAUAUUUGAUGUUUUAAAGGAGAGGCUUUAUGAGUUAAAUAGUAUGCAUAUUAAUGCACUAAAAUCAUUAAUUGCUUCUGGAAGCUGAGUUUUCUCAAAUGUUUAA